GUGGACAUUUUCUAUUUUUGGCCACAUGCUCCAGCUGUUCCCCUUCCAGCUCCAUUGCACCUUUAACCCAGUACUGAGCUAAAGGAUAGGAAAGGAUUAGCAAGGUCUGCUGACCAUGAGGGUUGUACUUUGAUACCUGCAGUUACUUUUAAAAGUGUUUCUCCUCUGUGUGCCAGCACGGAGUUCACAGCUUCUGUUUGUGCCACCACGGUCUGUCACUGUAGGAAAGCGGGACCUGUAGGCCUAGAGAGCUCUGCUGCUGUCUGGAGGUGCAGGGAACCAGGUAAGUGUAGAAGCAUUAUCUGAAAAUCAGCUAAAUCUGUAGUCCCUGAUGCUUGACUUAUGAUGCAGGGAAGGGCUAGUUGUUCAUUUUCCUUUGGUCGAAAAGAAAAGAACAACUUUUAAUGUCAAGGCUGAUUAGGUAGCUGUGAGUAAUUGAAGGAAGUGCUAUUGUGUUUAAGAUCCUGGGAAAGUAAAUAUGAAAAAAAAAAAGGUGGGGGGGGUGGAAAUCAUCCUCAGCUGUAAGGAAGACAGGUUAUUCAUGUUGGAGUUUGGUAAAUGGUCCUAGAUAAAUGCCAGGGAGGUACCAGCUGCUCUUCUCAUUACAUCCUGGUGGGGAGGCUGGGGAGUGAUGAAGUGGCUAGGGGGACCAUGUACAAGAGAGGAUCUUUCCUGACUAUAACACAGGAGAAGCCUGCACAGAUGGGUUCACAGACAUACUCUUUAAUCCUACGUGUGGCAACAGAUCUGGAUCUC